rnacentral:piRNA from 1 species
UGACGCAACUGUGAUCCCAAAGAGUGU